UUCCUAGGAGAUGAGGGGACUGCAAAUGACCCACCUUGAAUCCAUCCUUUUGAAGCUGCCCUUUGAGCAGAGACCCGUUGUCUGGCUGAUUUGAUUACCUAUCCAUGGUCUCCUCAAAGAGCCAAACUGGAAAAAAUGAGCGACUCUUACUCAUGAAACCACAGGAAAACCCCUGGAUGGAAGUUAAAGGAGUACUCCUGCCAGAUCCCAUGUUGCAGUUGAGGGUCCCAUUUGUUCACAUCAGUAUCCAUAGCAGAAUAAAAUCCUUUUUAUUGAAACAUGUUUUCAAUCGUAGGCAACCAGCCUGCUCCAAUUAGUUCUCCUAUCAUAUUCCUCAAAGCCAGGCUCCAAGGUGAACAAGUGACAACCUGACAACUGGAAUAUAAAGCUUCAGGGGAAAACGCUACUGCGGCAGCAGAUGGACUAGAUGACCUAAUACUCGUCCACUCAUUGGCCACUUCUGCACAGAUGAAACAACUGUCUUUUAGUGUCGUGCAAACUAGCUAUGGCUCAACCAGGUUUGACGUUGCCAGUGUGAACUAAAGAUGACACCAAAGCAACACACAAUCCAAAGUUUCUCCCAAAUUUGGAGAAGUUCAGUACAUCUGCCUAUACUUUGGUUUUUAAAAAUCCACUCAAGCGCAGCUAUGGGGGCGUAAAAGCUCAGAUACAUCAAUGAAGAGCACAGUUUAAAGGCCUAGAAGAACAGAGAGAGAUGACGUUCACUGUCCUAUCCAGCUCCCUCCUCUCCGAUGAAUGGAUAGGUGUCAAUUACUGCAACCUCCUCUCCUCUGGGUUCCCCCAAGUUUUCAAAAUCCCGGACAAACUCCAGUUGUGUUUGCAAAGUACUGUGAGGUCCUUUGGUAUUAUCAUUGCUCCUAUAGACUUUCCUCAGUGCACAUGGGUAGCUGCCACUAGCAUACCUGGGUGUUGGGAGCAGGGCUACAGAAUAUAUGCCUUGUGGAGAUAUUGUCUGCAUGUGAAAAUAUACCCCAUGUCACAUUUAUUAAUCUUCUUUAUCAGAGCAUCUAUCAUUAAUACACACACACACACACACACACACAAAUCCCCAGCUGUAGCUGUCUGUUUAAAUGAAUAUCUGGAGGGCGAGGAAUAUGAGAAACAUUUUUGUAUAGGAGAGAUUAAAGAAACAUCAGAGAAUGUAUAAAGGCCAGCUGCAUGAGUGUUGUCAAGGUACCAAAUGAAUUGAGGUUCUGAGCACCUCCAU